GGAGAGAUGGCCGACUGGUUGAAGGCAUAACAUUGAAAAUGUUAUGUAGAUUUUGUUUACUGAGGGUUCAAAUCCCUCUCUUUCCA